rnacentral:rRNA from 1 species
GCCCACAAAAAUAAAUCUUAUAAUAGACCAAUAAUAGAAACAAUUAAAUAACCUAACUAUCAUAAAGUACAGAAAUGGAAACAAUAACUAAUAAAAGUAAAUUUUAACAAAUGUACCUUGUGCAUUAUGGUUUUACAAGAAAACAAUUAAAAAUAUAAAUCCCGAAUUCUAAAUGAGAUGUUAAACUGCUGUCAAGAACCCACUAAUAACUGUAGAACAAGUUUUAAUAGACAGUUUAACAGAGGCUACAUACCAUACGCAUAAGAAUAUAGCUGGUUUUCAACAAACAUUAUAUAUUAAAACAUAUAAUUAUAUUAUAGUGUAAUACUACUGAGGAUAAGCCCAAUAGUCUAAACAAUACUAACAUAAACCUGUACAUAUUUAAUAGGCCUAAAAUCAGCCAACUAAAAUACUUUAUCGUAACACAUAAUGGUAAAAUGUGUAACUCCCAUAUGUAAAAAAUAGUUGAAAUAAUGGAUAAAUCAACUACCCCAAAUUUAAUAUGUAAAAAUAAGUAUUAUAAAAUCACCUCCGUAAUAAUCUAGAAUAUAGCAAUAGCUUUAAGAAUAAUAAUUAAUUAAGGAACUCGGCAAACCCCUAUUUCGACUGUUUAACAAAAACAUUGUCUCAUGAAUAAAAUAUGAGAUAAUACCUGCCCAGUGACACUUAGUUCAACGGCCGCGGUAUCCUAACCGUGCAAAGGUAGCAUAAUCACUUGCCUAUUAAUUGUAGGCUAGAAUGAAAGGGUUAACGAAAUAAAGACUGUCUCAAUUAAUUACCUAAAAAUUAUUAUUUACCUGAAGAAAGGUAAAUAAACUCGAAGGACAAGAAGACCCUAUAGAGCUUAAUUUUAUUUAUAGAUUUAUACUAUAAACAAUAUUCGGUUGGGGCGACCCUGGGCUUAAUAAUCACCCAAUAAAUAAAAGAUACCUUAAUCUAAUAAAUGACCCUUUAAAGAUCAAGAGACCAAGCUACCUUAGGGAUAACAGGCUAAUCCCACUCAAGAGUCCUUAUCAACAGUGGGGUUUGGCACCUCGAUGUUGGCUUAGGGUAUCUAUAUAGCGCAAAAGUUAUAUAAAGAUGGUUUGUUCAACCAGUAAUUCCCUACAUGAGCUGAGUUCAGACCGGCGUAAGCCAGGUUAGCUUCUAUCCUCGACCAACAUACUCUACUCCUAGUACGAAAGGACCUGAGUAGAAUAAUUAUUUAUAUAAAAGAAUACAUAUAACUAAAAAACAACAACAUUAAUCAUAAACUAUG